GUCAGAGUGGUGUAGUGGUUUGAGCAUUGGACUAUGACUCUAGAGAUCAGGGUUUAAAUCCCUGCUGGACC